AGAAUCAACGCUGGCGGCGUGCCUAACACAUGCAAGUCGAACGAGAAAGUGGAGCAAUCCAUGAGUAAAGUGGCGCACGGGUGAGUAACACGUGACUAACCUACCUUUUAGUGGGGGAUAACCUAGGGAAACCUGGGCUAAUACCGCAUAAUACCUACGGGUCAAAGCAGCAAUGCGCUGAAAGAGGGGGUCGCGGUCGAUUAGUUAGUUGGCAGGGUAAUGGCCUACCAAGACUGUGAUCGAUAUCCGGCCUGAGAGGGCGCACGGACACACUGGAACUGAAACACGGUCCAGACUCCUACGGGAGGCAGCAGUGGGGAAUUUGCGCAAUGGGGGAAACCCUGACGCAGCAACGCCGCGUGGAGGAUGAAGUCCCUUGGGACGUAAACUCCUUUCGAUCGGGACAUAAUGACGGUACCGGAAGAAGAACGCCCCGGCUAACUUCGUGCCAGCAGCCGC
rnacentral:rRNA from 1 species